rnacentral:tRNA from 1 species
GGAAAAAUGUCUGAGUGGUCGAAGGAACUGGUCUUGAAAACCAGCGUAUUUGAAAGAAUACCAGGGGUUCGAAUCCUCUUUUUUCCG